UACAGAGGUCUCAAGCGUUGUUCGGAUUCAUUGGGCGUAAAGGGUGCGUAGGCGGCGCGGUAAGUCGGGUGUGAAAUCUCGGAGCUUAACUCCGAAACUGCAUUCGAUACUGCCGUGCUUGAGGACUGGAGAGGAGACUGGAAUUUACGGUGUAGCGGUGAAAUGCGUAGAUAUCGUAAGGAAGACCAGUGGCGAAGGCGGGUCUCUGGGACGGUACUGACGCUGAGACGCGAAAGCGUGGGGAGCAAACAGG
rnacentral:rRNA from 1 species